UACGGAGGGGGCGAGCGUUAUUCGGAAUUAUUGGGCGUAAAGGGCGCGUAGGCGGCUUUACAAGUCAAAGGUGAAAUCCCUCGGCUCAACUGAGGAACUGCCUUUGAAACUGUAAGGCUUGAGUCCGGGAGGGGUAGCGGAAUUCCCAGUGUAGCGGUGAAUGCGUAGAUAUUAGGGAGAACACCAGUGGCGAAGGCGGCUACCUGGACCGGAACUGACGCUGAUGCGCGAAAGCGUGGGUAGCAAACGAGG
rnacentral:rRNA from 1 species